GACAGCUUCACAUCUCGCCCGGGCGCGGGGCGAGCGACGCUGCGCUCAGCUCACCCCCCAGAGGGCAGCGCUGCCAAGCCGGCGGGCCGGGGAGCGGGGCCUUGGGACGGAGGGGCCAGAUACGCCCACGCUUCUGCGUUCCAAGCAAGCUGCAGGUCCCCCACGUUCAGCUUCUUCUCACACUGAGCCCCGGGCACCAGAGGCCUACCGUCCCCAUGUCCCCCUGGGGCCCCUGCCCCUGCCUCCCCAAGCGUCUCCGGAGUUUCCACGCUUCCAGGAAGACCAGCCUUGCUGACUACAGGCUCCCUGCCAGGUAUUGAAGAUGCCGGAGGACGCCUGCCUCUCCAGUCUUAUCUGGCAGCUCACUUCACUCUGAAAAAUAAGUGCCAGCUCCCUGACAUAAUGACAACAUGGGACACUAUACAGUGACUGCUGUGAGCCAGGCACUGUUCUAAGAGCUCAACACAUAUCUAGCUAUUUGAUCCUCAUCACUACACCAUCUGUUAUCAUCCCCAUUUUACUGAGGACACUGAGGCACAGAGACGGCGGGGCCAGGAUUAAACCCAGUGCAUCCAUUCCUAAGUCUGUCCUUUUAGUCACAAACUCAACUGUUGUAAUUUGUCUUUAUCCAGAGCAGUGGAAAUGUACUAGAGGGUUUUAAGCAGGAGGUUAACACAUUCAGAAGAAUUUUCAAAACUUACACUGAGUGUGAAAGUGAAUUGCAUCGGGGCAAGAGUGGGUGAAGCUGGGCCUGUACGGAGGCCCUUGCAGGGCUGCAGGGGAGAGAUGGCAGAGGACUGCACCUCAGCGGGAGGGGGGGUUGGGGUUGGGAAGAACCGCACUGAUAAAAAAAUCAUCUAAGUGCUUACGGACUUGGUUUAUAUUUCUUAUUUUCAAGUACCUGCUUUCAACUAUGCUCCUUUUCUGCCCCUUGGCAUGCGGACAGAGUCUUUAAUUGUAUGGUCACCUUUGGUAUUCGGAACAUAUGACCCAGUUAAGUUUAAAAUUCAAGUCUCAAGUCAGACUCGAACCUCAUCUGCCCCACCUUUCUCAGCCCGAAGCCGCCUUUGGAUUCGGAGUGGAAAUGACGUGUGGUCUUGUCUUCCGUGCUGUUCUGCCUUCAGCGCCUCGUUGGGAGAGGGGGUGGUGAGUGAGGGCUGACGGGGG